rnacentral:rRNA from 1 species
CAGUAGCGUAUAUUAAAGUUGUUGCAGUUAAAAUGCUCGUAGUUGAAGUUCGGAUGCAGCAGAGCUUGGAAACGCUGUUAUGGUGCUUCCGUUGCUUUUGCUUGUCCACAGUGCGUUGCAAGUACGUAUGUGCUUGUGCGUGCAUUUUACUUUGAGAAACAUAGGGUGUUCCACGCAUGUUACGGCAUGAAUAUUCCAGCAUGGGAUAAUCUAGUACGACUUCCAAUCUGCCAUUUUGGUUCGUAGGUUGGAAGUAAUGAUUAAUAGGGACUGUCGGGGGCAUUGGUAUUUGACUGUCAGAGGUGAAAUUCUUAGAUUCGUUGAGGACCAACCACUGCGAAAGCAUUUGUCAAGGAUGUCUCCAUUAA